GACGAACCGUGCGAACGUUAUUCGGAAUCAUUGGGCUUAAAGGGUGCGUAGGCGGGCUCGUGAGUCAGGGGUGAAAUCCCACGGCCCAACCGUGGAAGUGCCUCUGAUACCGCGGGCCUCGAGGGGGAGUAGGGGCGUGCGGAACUUCCGGUGGAGCGGUGAAAUGCGUAGAUAUCGGAAGGAACACCGGUGGCGAAAGCGGCGCGCUGGAUCCCUACUGACGCUGAGGCACGAAAGCCAGGGGAGCAAACGGG
rnacentral:rRNA from 1 species